CGUGGUGCGCAUGUGCGGUGAUCUGUGGGGUGGGGCCGCUCAGGCUGAUUCAACCUGGCAGCCCCAGCAACGCAGGGAGCCAGGUGUCCUGCGGGGGGUUUGCGUAGAUAAAUGCAUGAGUUUUUAAAAAAAAAACAUUUAAAAAAUGUAAUGAAUCAUGUCUCCUAUGAGGGCCAGCCAGGAAUGGGACCCGUUGUGCCAGGCGCUGCACAUGCACAGAGCAGGAGUUGCCCCCUACCCCCAGAGGUUACAGUCAGACACGGGUCUGUGGGUGCAUCUGAUCUCCUUUAGUAGACCAAGGACAUUUUUUGGAGACUGGAUGCACACCUUGCUGGGGUUAUUUGACCCCAGCUGUCAUUCCUGCCUAGAGCAGGGGGGCUGGACCCAGUGAUCUCACCAGGAGCUCCCUUCCAGCCCAAAACUUCUGUGAAUCUUCCUCAUCACGCCUGCUUUACCUGUGGUACGCUGUCAGAUGUCACCCUUGCUUUACCUGUGGUACUCUGUAGGAUGUUCUUGGUGUUUCUGGUUUGUGCCUGAUGUGUGUAAUGGUUUCAAAUGACAAUAUUUAAGAGUUUUGGACUAAACUGUUGCCUGUGAACGCAGAGGACUGAACUUGAUGGCACAGGAGAUUCCUUCCAGUCCUAUAUCUCUAAAAUGGCAGGAGCUGAAGCUUUUAGGAAGAAAAUCCAAACAUUCAUGCAGUGUAAUUAUGGUAUGACAUCAUGAGACAAUGCAGUGACAUUUUGGCAGAGUCUGGCCCAAGGAUAUCUUAUCAUGAAGUAGUGGAGUCAUUGUGUCCUUACACCAACACACUGAGAGUAGAUUUUGCCUCUGCUCUCAACAUACUGAGAGUAGAGAGUAUCAUGACUCACUAGGUUUCUUGAUCUAUGCAGAGCUGGGUAUUCCCAACCUGAAGGAUAACUGCAGUCUUUGGAACAAUAUUGAUGGAGUUAACCUGGGAUAAUGGGUUCUACUGGUGUUAUCAGAUGGAGGUAAACAGAAACAAAAAUUGGUGGAGGAAAAGGGAGAAGAGAUUAAAAAAGUUCUUCGAAAAGAUGAAAUCCCAAGGGUGAGUUCCCCAGGGCCACAAUAUCCCACUGUCUGUCUUAUACUCAAAACCUUUAUGAGGUUUCUAUCACUAUUUCCUAUUUUAGGGACUGAAUAAAUAAAUGUCAAGAUUACUGUAUUGAUAAGAGGAAAUAGUCACUCAUUGUGCUAGGUGGGCCUUUGGAAGUGUGACAGAAACAGAACCAGAAGGGGAUACAACAAAAACAACCAUAGUGUAAGAAAAAUGUAGACUGGGACUGGGAUCUGCUAGCUCAUUUCAUACAAGCCACCAGGCAUGUGUAAGUGAGAGAAAGUACAUGUCUAGUGAUUAUAACAUGCGAUUCAGAGUUUCUGGACUUUAUUGUAGUCUGGUGAUUUGUGUGGGGGAGGCAUGAUUCCUAUGUUUUGGCUCUCGCAUUUACAAACUGCUUGGACACAUUCACUAUUUUAAGCCUUAGCUUCCUUGCGUGUAAAAUGGAUUUAAAAACCUCUACAUCAUAGGGAUCUCGUGACAUUCUCUGUGUUUGAUGAAUGUUGCAAAAGUGAUUUGAGAUCCUCUAACAGAAAGCGCUGUGAAAUGGUAAUGUAACACAACUGCUAGCAUAAAAACAAACAGGGAACACCAGUUAAUUUCACAUAUGUCUCAGAGCAUGAUUUUUGAUGGUAACCGUUCCUGGGCUGAACCAGGAAUUGAGAAGCCCCCAUCAAUUCCAAGUUUCAACCCUGAGCCAUCCACUUCUCUCAUACUUCUCUGUACAUUUUUAAAGGAAAACCAUUGAAAUUCUGCAUUAAUCACAAAUAUGUAGAGAUAUUAGUAAAAGAUAAUCUUGCUUUAUUUUAUUUAUAGUUCUAGAGUUUAUUUGAGUACAACAGAUAUAUCUAUGCCGCAUGUGAAAAAUCUUUUCAUUUUAAUGACAGCAAGGACUGUUGUUUAAAUUGUACCACUGUGUUAAAUGAGAAAUGUUCUUUUGCCCUCUGAACAUACAGCUGAAUUCUACUAUUACCAACAGCCAAUUUUCAAGAAUUCAAGUAAUAUAUGUCAUCCACAGGUGAUGGAAAUGUUGAUAGACUGGUAACAUGAAUGGGAGAAAUAUAAUAUCCAAAAUAUUUAUUUUGCACUUGAACAGGAUGUUGCUUUGCUUAAGACAUAAUUGACAAAUAUGGCAGUAAAGGUGAAUGGCAAAAUAAAAUUCAAAUUUCUUUGUGCCAUUUAUUGUUCCUUAUGGGAUAGAUCAAGAUGGCCUCAUGAAAUUUAUAUUUACCCCAGAAAAUACUUGUCGCUCCAGCUGUUCUCAACUUUUUGUUUGGAGGAUUCAGGGAAACUUUAAGAGAUCCUGAAACAUGAUAUCAAACAUGCAGUUUGGGAACUGAUCUGCAUCCUUCCCCUCCCACCACUAAUGUGGGACAAUGAUCUGAGUCUGCAACUAGAAGAGCUGCUGGUUGCUUUCAAACUCCAGCUUUUGUACCUACAAAGCCUGGGGCAGGGGUCAAACACGAUGAUCCUUCAGGGUCCCUUCUGACUCUACAAUCUAUGGAUCUAUGAAAGUCAGCAUCCUCAAGGAAAACCUACCAGGUGGGAAUCUGUAUUUUUAAUAAACAAAA